UUGGAUCGGACCUUAAAAUAAAUAUUUUUAUAAGCUUAAAUAUUUGAUCUAUAAAUAACAAUGUUUUUAUAGGCAAGAAUAGUAUAUAUAUUUGUAGUUCGAUACAAACUGUACAAAAUAGGUCAAAAAUUAAAGUGACCAAGAGACAAAAUAAUACAAGAUAGAGAUAAUGAUAGUUUAUGUACACUCAAUAAUAAUAUUGUAAUCAUCAUUUUUGAGAAAUCUUUUCACAAUAUCUAGGCAUGGUUGCAAAACAGUAUUCCUCCAUGCUUCGUCAAGAACUUCUUUUCUAUCUUCUUUGAAAACAUCAGUAACAAUAAUAUGAUGCACCGACCACAUUUUCUCAUUUAUUAAUCGUUGAAUCUUGUAAACAUUGUAAAGAAAGCCUUCACUACGAAGCAAGCUCACUUGUAAAAACUCCCUUAAAUAUAUUUGCAUUUUAGAAACCUAAUGGAGCAACUAGAUAAUUCAGAUAUCAUGGAGAAGCAAGAGGCAAAGGUAUAUUGUUUAUUAAUAUGCAGAACUAAAUUCAUAUAUUCCUGAAUAUCAUAAAUAUGAUUGAAUAAGUUUAUGCUAGUUAUUAUGUAUUAGAAUUAUACGAAAUCAUGCUUUCUAGUUUUGGGGGUGCUAAAUUCAUAUGGUAAUUUUGAACUUUUACCUUUGAUUGUAAUUCUUAUUGUAAUAUUAUUUUGCUAGUUGUUUUAAUCUGAAUAUUUCUUUAACAUUAUUUGAGAUAUAUUCUAGGUAUAAUACAUCUUGGGUUCUUAGGUACAUAUAUAAAUUGUUUUCCAUUAAUUGUUCUAUUAGUUUUAUAUCGUUUAUAGCUUCUGUCCAAUAUUGUAAAUAUUUAUAAUUCAUUUCUUAAUCUGAAUAUUCCGUUUCUAAAUCAUAUAAUUCUAUUCUUUUAGUAUCUAGCUAUAGAUCCUGUAAAUCUAUUUCAUACCAUGUUUGGUUUUCUAGUUCCAUUUCAUUAAAUAUCUUUUUCCAUAUUAUUUCUCUUAAUUCGAUAAUUUUUAUAUCUUUGAGUACAUAUAAAAUUAAUGUUUCGUAGCUUCUUAUCAUUUCAUCAUGUAUAAAUGUAUUCAUGUUCUUGUUAUUCACAGUUUUUAUCAAUUAUUCCUUCCUAUCAUAUCAUGACUGAAUAGGAUUAUAUUAAAUCAUUAUGAACUAGAAUAUCCGCUUAUCAUGUUCUCCUGUCACUAUUAGCAUCGUACUUUAGCAGAUACUUUCUUCCUAAACAGCGCCUCAACUGUGUUUACUCCCCUAUCACGGCUUCUCUUGCCUUUCUGGUUUCAAAUUUAGGAUGGCAUAGUUAUGGAAGGUUUCUCGCUUUUCCUGUUUGCUAAUAAACUAGAAAGCAUGAUUUCGUAUAAUUCUAAUACAUAAUAACUAGCAUAAACUAAUUCAAUCAUAUUUAUGAUAUUCAGGAAUAUAUGAAUUUAGUUCUGCAUAUUUAAUAAACAAUAUACCUUUGCCUCUUGCUUCUCCAUGAUAUCUGAUUUAUCUAGUUGCUCCAUUAGGUUUCUAAAAUGCAAAUAUAUUUAAGAGCGUUUUUCAAAUGAGCUUGCUUCGUA
rnacentral:lncRNA from 1 species